rnacentral:lncRNA from 1 species
CCAACUUUACAGUGAUAUCAACUUUUCAGAGUACUUGUGAUCUUCAUCACAAGUUUGGUGAUUUUUCUUUUAUUUUAUUAACUCUUUUUAAUUGUUUCUUUUACUUGUUCAUAUUUUAGCUUAUCUUUUAAUUUAAUUUUUAGUUAAUCUUAAUCUUUUUGUAGUUUUAUUUUCUUUUGUUUCUUUGUUUUUGUUACAGUUGUUACUAGUUGUGUAUGCCAUAUU